UUAGGUCUUCUUUUGCUGCCAAUCGAGAGCUGUUCUAAAAGGAGCUACAAAAAGACACUGUUUUUGUAAUAAAGAUUCAUAAUUUCUGCUUCUAUGGAGGCUUACAAGAGAUGGGUUCGAAGGAAUCGUGAUUAUGUCCGCCAAUUGAGUUCUCUAGCCAGUGGAAUGACAUGGCUUCUUCCAGAGCGGUUUGCUACAUCAGA
rnacentral:misc_RNA from 1 species